rnacentral:lncRNA from 1 species
GAGAUUUCCUUAGUGGGUGGUUAUGGAUAUUUAUAUUGUCCACAUUCUUAGAUACUUGAUGAAAUACUCUCUGUAACGCCCAUAUUUUGCCCGGGCCCAAACCAAAAGCAGCCUAAUCUCCAAAAUAAUUAAACAGUCUAAAAAUGAAUUACAAGCCCAAAAAUAAGAAAAAAAACCUAGUGGCCCAAGUGGCCCACAACUUAAAAUCAGUUUCAGUAAAAUUGAAACCCUAACCUAACCCUAAUGCUCAUGCGCCGCUCCCAUGUGGUGCCGUACGCCUCCUUUGCCACCGCUUGUCAGCCUUGCACCAAAAUGGCCAAGGUUAUCCCUCCAAUGCUCGUUGACUUUGCCGAAACUUGCAAACAGGACAAAAAGGAGACAGACACAGAAGCAAGAUAGUAGAAAAUAGUAUUGAAAUCGGCUAUAAGAGCCGAAUGAAAUGUAAUGAAAAAGGGGGCCAAAUCACUGUAAUCGGGGGGUUUUCUUUCUUUUUUUUUUCUUUUGGCUUUUCCUGUAAAGAAGAACUGCUUCUUCUUUUUAUCCACAUUAGAAAUCAAAAACCGAAUUUAAAUUUGAAAAGGUUGAAUCAUUGUGAUUUCCUAUUUGUUUUCAUUUUUUCUUCUUUUACAAAUCUAUAUUAAAUAACUAUAAUAAAAAAUAUCAAAAGCAAAAAUAGGGGAAAGGGAAACUCACCGGAGUUGGCCAUGACUGCGCCGUCGGAGGGUCUCUCCUUCGUCGCCCGAUUCGAGUCUAAAGGGGUCGAUGGUCUCCUCUUUGUUUCAUUUCUCGCGGGUUGAGAGAGCUUGGCUCUCAAGGAUACCGUAACAGGGGCUAGAAGCUCAUCGUUUCCCGUUGCCGGCUGUUAGCCAUGGCGACGGUGCGACCUUUCGUCGCCGGAGACCAUAGGCCAGAUGCGUGGGGGGUGUUGAGAGAUUGUGAGGGUUUUUUAUUAUUAUUAUUUUAAAUGGCUGAAUGAGUAAAAAGAAACAAC